UGGGGAAUUUUGGACAAUGGGCGAAAGCCUGAUCCAGCAAUGCCGCGUGUGUGAAGAAGGCCUUCGGGUUGUAAAGCACUUUUGUCCGGAAAGAAAUGGCUCUGGUUAAUACCUGGGGUCGAUGACGGUACCGGAAGAAUAAGGACCGGCUAACUACGUGCCAGCAGCCGCGGUAAUACGUAGGGUCCAAGCGUUAAUCGGAAUUACUGGGCGUAAAGCGUGCGCAGGCGGUUGUGCAAGACCGAUGUGAAAUCCCCGAGCUUAACUUGGGAAUUGCAUUGGUAACUGCAGGGCUAGAUUGGGUCAGAGGGGGUAGAAUUCCACGUGUAGCAGUGAAAUGCGUAGAGAUGUGGAGGAAUACCGAUGGCGAAGGCAGCCCCCUGGGAUAACACUGACGCUCAUGCACGAAAGCGUGGGGAGCAAACAGG
rnacentral:rRNA from 1 species